rnacentral:rRNA from 1 species
GACGAGGGGUCCUAGCGUUGUUCGGAAUCACUGGGCGUAAAGCGUUUGUAGGCGGCUCUAUAAGUCGGGUGUGAAAUCCCACGGCUCAACCGUGGAAGUGCAUUCGAAACUGCAGAGCUUGAAUAUGGAAGAGGAGAGUAGAAUUCCCGGUGUAGCGGUGAAAUGCGCAGAUAUCGGGAGGAACACCUGUGGCGAAGGCGGCCAGCUGGGCCGACCCUGACGCUGAGGCGCGAAGGCGUGGGGAGCGAACGGG